rnacentral:rRNA from 1 species
UACAGAGGGUGCUAGCGUUGUUCGGAAUCAUUGGGCGUAAAGGGCGUGUAGGCGGUUUGUUAAGUCAUGUGUGAAAUCCCUCGGCUCAACCGGGGAAGGACGCAUGAAACUGGCAAGCUAGAGUACCAAAGAGGGGGGUGGAAUUCCCGGUGUAGCGGUGAAAUGCGUGGAUAUCGGGAGGAACACCUGUGGCGAAGGCGGCCCCCUGGUUGGAUACUGACGCUGAUACGCGAAAGCGUGGGGAGCAAACAGG